ACGGCUCACAGAGGAGGUGGCACUUAAGGCUGGCCGAGAUUCCAGCGGGUGGAGGCAGGUGGGGAGAGGCAUUUCAUCUGAGCCAACAGCUACCUCCUGGAUCCCCAGGAGUUAGCUGGGAACAGGCCUACUGCCCCAUCUACUUAAGGGGCCUAAAAGACAGUGGGAUUUCUCUUACGGGAGUUCCCGUCUGUGGCACAGUGGCUAAUGAAUCCGACUAGGAACCAUGAGGUUGCGGGUUCGGUCCCUGCACUUGCUCAGUGGGUUAAGGAUCCGGCGUUGCUGUGAGCUGUGGUGUAGGUUGCAGACGCGGCUCGGAUCCUGCGUUGAUGUGGCUGUGGUGUAUGCCGGGCGGCCACAGUUCCAAUUCGACCCCUAGCCUGGGAACCUCCAUAUGUCGCGGGAGCAGCCCAAGAAAUAGCAAAAAAAAAAGAUUUCUCUUACGGCUCCCAGAGGCCUCGUUGUCGACCCUUCUUUCAAAGGUCACAGGGUGUAAUGAUGGGAAGAUUGUGGGGGGGCCAAGCUGCUCCUCGCCUCGACAACCCCUACCCCCUCAGAAGUGACACAGAUGCCCACUGUGUGGGUCCUGCACCAGCGAAGCAGAAAGAGGCACUGCUACCAGUGAACACACAACACUGCACAGAAGGAUUCUAGAAACUGGUGGUCCGCUUCCUCACAGGAGGGCCCACGGGCAGAGAGAAGGGUGGGAACAAAGAAACAAGAGAUGAGGGAGGCGCGAGACAGGGGCCAGCCUGGCAAACCCUGCCUCAAGGCCGAUGCCGCCAGUGACAUCACGUAAAUGUCAGGUAGCCCUGGCGGGCCGAGCUGAGAGGGCACCCCGCCCACGACCCCGUCUAAGUCUGAGAAAACACCAGACAAGCUCAGACGGGGGGCUGUGGGACAGGAAACCUGGGCCGCGCUCCUCAAGCCUGCCAAGGUCAGGAAGAGCGAGAAACACUGAGGAACUGUCCCCAACCAGAGGCAGGGGACACGUGACCACUGCAUGCAACGCGGGACCUUGGAAUAGAUCCUGGAGCAGUACAAGGCCGUUAGUGGAAAACCAGUGAAAUCCAAACAAAACCUGGAGUUCAGGAGUUCCCGUUCUGGCACAGUGGAAACGAAUCCGACUAGGAACCAUGAGGUUACGGGUUCGAUCCUUGGCCUUGCUCAGUGGGUUAAGGAUGUGACGUUGCCAUGAGCAUCACUGCUGUAGGUUGCAGGCGCAGCUCGGAUUCUGUGUGGCUGUGGCUGUGGCGUAGGUCAGCGGCUAUGGCUCUGAUUGGUCCCCUAGCCUGGGAACCUCC
rnacentral:lncRNA from 1 species